CACGUAUGGCUUGCAUCGAUGCGAUAAGAGAGGAAGUUAAAGGGAAAGAAACCUAAACUCUAGAGAUCUGAUCUAGAGGGAGGUCUGCUGACCAGGAGGGAGAACAGGGGCCACGCAGAAGGGAUUCUUCAGUGCUCUACAUCAAAGCCAGGCCAAACAAAAAAACAUGACAUUGAAUUCAUGACUAAUCACAAUGGUACACAGUUUAUUACCUAAGUUACUUCUCUCCAGAGUGGGCUUCGGUUGUACGCUUGAAUUGGCUCUGUGUGCUAGUCUACAAGGGUGGGGUGGGGAAAAUUUAGGGACCAGAGACAUGUCAUAGUGGGGAGAGGUGCUGGCAAUGUGAUGGGUAACUGCCCAAGGCUGCUCCAGCCCCAAGGGGCAGUGGCGGCCAUUGCUUUUGAUGGGGAAGGAUCUUCUCACAGCGCCAUCUCUGAGGUUGCUAGUCUUUGGCUGGGAUUUACAAGGAUGAGAGGGUACCAUGGAUUAAAUCAGAAGACCACUUUUCCUAUCAGAGGUUAAACUUCCAGAUAUGAGAGAUGGGCAUCAUCUUCCUAGCUCAUCCAAUAGAAGCUUAGCAAUAAAAUCAAAGGGCUCUGACAGAACGUGAGGCUGAUGCCGGGACUAGCUAAGCACCAGAAUGAAUUCCAGCUGGAUGGCGGGACACCUGGGUGGUGAGCAUGCUGGCGUUUGUCUUACUUCGUCUGUAGUGGCUGAUGGUGAAUAAAAACAAGCAGACCCACCUCAUCCUUAUCCGUGAGAUGUGACUCAGGUACCCUUUUCUACACUGUCCCCCUCGUGCUUGAAAUAGCCUUCCCUGCCCCUCUAAGUGGCCAACUUGUAAUGGAACCCUCGCCAGGCAGGUGAACUGGACUGCACCGCUGUCCGCAGUCGCACCGGGAAAGGACUGUGGGAGAACAGGGGAGGCACAUCCAUUUCUGAGCAGCUGGCAGCACCACGUGGAGCCCAAGGCCCUGCAUAAACACAGCAACCCGGGAAGAGGGCUCGAUGCCCCUUCCUCCACCGGCCACCAAGCUCUUGCACUGUAAUGACUACUGUUGUCCAGGUUGGCAACAUUUUACAUUUCAGCAUCUCACAAAGUUGAUAAAUAAUUAUCUACACAUCACAGUUCUCCAUUAACAGAAGACAACCAUAAAGGGAGGUGGAGACGUGCCCUGUCAUUGAUGACAAAGCAGCUCUGAAGCAAGACAAAGCGUGGGACGCUGGACUUCAAGUUCUCACUGUGAGAAAUAUGCAAACCAGACUGGAACACCUGGGUUGGCUGCUCAGCCCAUUUUCGUCCCCAAGAGGAAAGUCACAGUGUCAGAUCGAGAAAAGCUGAAGACAGAUAUCCAACAGGGUGCCUGUGAAUGCCUGAAGACUCGCGGUCAGCAGGGCUCUUGCCCACGCUGAGGGGGCGAACAGCUAGAUGUGGGCAUUUCCUAUUUCUGACCUCCCUUCAACCAGCUCCAGGAUGCUACUUGUUGGAAGUUAGGAGCCCUGCUAUUGAGUACUAUCAAGGAGCACCAUACCUUCAACAGCACUUGUAUGCGCCGAAAGGUUUCAGGGUCUCUGAUCCUGCCAUUUCCUAAAGAGACACUCUAUGUCUACCGGCUCUGUCCAGCUAAGUCCGUUCAGUAGGGUUAUCUGUGACUCACUUUGUCACCAUUCUUUGGUCAAAUGGGUGUCUACAAACUUUAGUUCUUUCUUCUUCUUGCCCUCUUUACCGUCAAAGGCAUUUAGGGAAUACUACUGUUAAGCUAUGCCAUGGAGAUCCAAAAGUGAACAAGACACAGCUCUCAAGUUGUUCAAAGCUUAACAGGGGAGACAGAUAUAAAAAGAAUUGUAUAACAGAGUAGAGAGAUGGUCUAGGUACUGUGGUGCUUCACAGAGAAGGACACUGCGGGGAAGACAAAAACGGUGACAUUGCAAGAGAUCAAAAUAGUCAAAACAAUCUCGAAAAAGAAUAAACUUGGAGGAUUCAUACUUCCCAAUUUUAAAGCUUGCUACAAAGCUGCAAUAAUUGGGGCACAUGGGUGGCUUAGUUGGUUAAGCGUCCGACUUCGGCUCAGGUCAUGAUCUCACAGUUGAUAAGUUCAAGCCCCCAUCGGACUCUGUGCUGAC